CCUACGGGAGGCAGCAGUGGGGAAUAUUGCGCAAUGGGGGAAACCCUGACGCAGCCAUGCCGCGUGUGUGAAGAAGGCCUUAGGGUUGUAAAGCACUUUCAAUUGGGAGGAAAGGUUGCACGUUAAUAGCGUGUAGCUGUGACGUUACCUUUAGAAGAAGCACCGGCUAACUCCGUGCCAGCAGCCGCGGUAAU
rnacentral:rRNA from 1 species